rnacentral:lncRNA from 1 species
GAUGUAAAAAGCUAGUUAGCGCAAAUGGUAAAGGGCUUGGUGGUUGGUACUCGAGAUCCCAAAUUCGAAUCCUUAAAGGGUUUGGUGGUUGGUACUCGAGAUCCCAAAUUCGAAUCCUAAUUGAUUCACAUUUCCAAUUAAGUUUAUUUCUAAAUAAAAUAAAUGAAACUGGUAGCAUACUAUCUAUCUCUCUUUCUUAAAAAAAAAAAAAAAAGGAGGUCCAAUGCAUAAUUUAGGAAAGCUUAUGCACACAAUUUUUGUCACACAGUUUGGAAAUUGUUUCCUAAGAACGGGAGACGAGAUCAGAGGAACUAAUGUCAGGGGGUAAAGAAAA